CGCUUUAUAUUUUUGUAAAAGUUGUGUGAUAAUAUUGAGUCAUAGCAACGUCGGAAACCUUAUCACUUAUCAGCGCUUAUUCUUUAGGGGGUUGGUCUAGAUAUUUAGGUCGAAUGUACAACAGCCCGCCUCUAUAUUUCAUUGGCAGUGGCGAUCGCGUCAACAAGUUGCGUGGGCCGGGAAAAUUGUUUGCGCAUCCUCCGUAGCCCUGCGCAAGCCAUCUCUUUCGUACACCCGACAAAUGGCUGGGCCGUCGAAGCCUCUACAGUCGUACUCUCUUCGACGCUCCCAACUUACCAUCGCAUCGGGAACACUCAUGUGGGACGCACGUGCGAAACUGCCUGCUGCUUUUAAACAAAAAAACACCUUUGGCCAACAUCAAGUUCGAAACGUAGUACGGAGUAUUGAUAAUACACAUCUCGGAUCGGACAUUAGACAAGUUUUUGCCGUUGGUUGGUGCAUGUGAGCCUGGACUUGGUCGGGUGCAGACGCGAUGCGAAAUGGAGUGCGACGAAACGACAGAUGCCCGAGCUGCCCGACGCACGCAAUCACCGUUAUGGCGGCUGAUAUUGACAUGAGUCAUUCUGGCAGACGUCAACGGAGGGAAGACAGCGCAAUGCAUAUUAAGAAAAAACUGUAUUAUUACCGAAAACAGGUACUUACACAACCGUCGAUCUAAUGAGCAAAUUACGUCAGCUAUGAUUUAGGUACGAUCAGAUUAUUGGCAGUUUGUGUCGCCUGGGAACGAUGAGAAAAUAGAAAUUCAACAAAUAAGAUAGCCUGCCCAAUGGAGAUGGACAAAUGGGGUUGAGGCGGUCUUCGUAACCAUGAACACAGGUAGGUCACAUUAUUAGAAAGCGCGCACACAUUU